rnacentral:rRNA from 1 species
UACGUAGGGCGCAAGCGUUGUCCGGAAUUAUUGGGCGUAAAGAGCUCGUAGGCGGCUUGUCACGUCGGGUGUGAAAGCCCGGGGCUUAACCCCGGGUCUGCAUUCGAUACGGGCUAGCUAGAGUGUGGUAGGGGAGAUCGGAAUUCCUGGUGUAGCGGUGAAAUGCGCAGAUAUCAGGAGGAACACCGGUGGCGAAGGCGGAUCUCUGGGGCAUUACUGACGCUGAGGAGCGAAAGCGUGGGGAGCGAACAGG